UGGUCUCCUGAGCGAUAGUCUCUCCUGAGAUUUAGAGACACAGAAAACAAAGGAAAAAAUGAAGUGCAUUUUGGAUUUGAAAGUGGAAACUCAGGGUGAGAUGGCAGUUUAAAGAGUAAGCAUGUUUGACUUGAGAACUCACUCACUCUUCCAGGCUGGACGAGGAUGCCAUGGACUCACACAGUUAGUUCCCAGUCAGAAAUGGAAGACCUCUAAGCAUGUACCCUUCUCUUCCAUCUUCCUUAUUUUCCAUCUUUCUGCCACUGCACUACUUGCUGAGGCUCAGCUGCAGCUAGAGAAAGUCAAGCUGGACGGUGACAAGAGAACUUUAAAACUAACCUCAUAAUAAGGUAGAGAAACCAAGGCCCAGAAGACUAAGGAACUUGGCUUUGGCCAUAUAGAAGAUGAGUGUUAAUGUUCACCACUAGACUAGAAAUGAAAAGGGAGCUUCUAAACACACAAGAAGGGUUGGGUCCAUGGAGCUCAGGAGUGUGGGAUGAAGCCUGCGCUCCAUCUCCAGUGCUGUGAUGAAUAAGCGAAUAAACAAGUAAAUAAAUAAAACAUUAUAUCCUUGGUUCGUGUGCCGAAUAGCAUGCAGAAAGCAGGUCACAACCCACAACCUGGACUUUGCUGUACCAUCUAGAAUUGUUUGGAAGGUUCCUCAUGCUAUCACUCAAAGUAUCUUUCCGAAACAGAAAUGCUACCUCCGAGUAACUGUUUUGCAACUUGAAAUCUGUUUGUAUUUAAUUUUCCAAAAAUAAAACUCAACACUAGGUAAGGUCCUAUGGGAAAGGGGCUCAUGGCAGGCCCUAAGGGAGGUAGCUCAGGGAUGACAAUUAAGAACGCCCCCAACCACGGGCUUUGGAAGCUACACAGUUUAUAAAACAGGCCAGUUUACCUGCAUUAUUCUUGAUUCUUUCCCGAUGUUCUACAUAUGCUCUCAUCCACACUCCAUGGCAUGGAAAUCUGACUUCGUGGCUCCCCAUCCCAGGAACCCCCUCACGAAUCUCCACAGACUUGGUAAGAUUAGAUCCAAGCACACCACUCAAGUUCCCAGGUGACUAACCCAGCUUCAGUUUUUUUCUACCCAAUCCUACCAAAGCCACCAACAUGUACUGCAUUUACAUGGUAUACAGUUCACAUUCCGCACUUCCAAGCCAUUGUCUGUGUUGUUCAAUCUGGAAUACCUUUCCACUUUUAUGGCAAUUGUUAAUGACCAUUUUAAGGAAUUGUUAAAAAUGUUUUCCCUAGCAGUUAGACUGCCAGCAGCAAUUGUAGAUUUCAACUUCUCUACAUCUUCAACAAUACUUGUCACUGUUUUCUUUAGUUGCUAUCCUAGUGAAUGUGAAGUGUUACCACCUUUUUUAAUUUGCAAAUUCUUAAUGAUGUAGGCAUUUAUGUAUUUUCUUUGAGAAAAUGUCUAUUCAAAGUAUUUGAGUAGUAUUGGUGUUGGUUCUUUUUUGAAGUUCUGGUGAAAAAAAAAAUCUGCCCUAAAGCCCUCUGGUUUUGUGGUUGUUUUGUUUCUCUUAAUUAAGAGACUUUUUUUUUUUUUUACUGUUUCAAUAUCAUUGCUGGUUAUGGAUGUGUUUAAAUAAUUUAUUUUUUCUUGUUUUAAUUCUGGUAUAUCUUAUAAAUCUGCAAAUGUAUCCAUUUCUUUUAAAUUUUUCCAAUUUAGUGGAAUAAAGGGUUUAAAAAUAUGUCCUCAUGAUUUUCCGAAUUUCAUUAGUAUCUAUUGUGACAUUUCCUUUCUUGCCGAAUUUUAUUAAUGUUGACCAUCAUUUUCUUUUGAUUAGCUUGGCAAAGAAAUUGUCAGUCUUGUUUAUAUUUUCAAAGAGCCAACUUUUGUGUCAUCAGUUCUUAUGUUGUUUCCGUUUGCCCCUGUUUCAUUCAUUUCUGUCCUGGUUUUGAUGAUGUCUUCCCGUCUACUGCUCUUGGGGUUGUUUAGCUCUUGUUUUGCCACCAUUACCUAUUCGUUUUGACGUACACAAUAAACUUUCCUCUUAGCACUGC
rnacentral:lncRNA from 1 species